GAACACAAAAUGGCGACACGUGGUUAGCAUUCGUCGCCAACGAGAAAUUGGGGUCGGCCCGAAAGCUCUAGAAUGCACCCCUCUUCCUCCCCGGGGCCUUCCACCUCCGCGAGUUUUAUGACUUAAAAAAGCCCACAGGCUGGUCUGAAGGUCGGAGGCCUAAUUUUAACGCGUUUUCCUCCCUUUAAUUUGAAACGGGAACGCGAAUGACUGUAAAAUAGGAAGACAAACAUAAAGAUGAAGUGCUUAAUUCAAGGUCACACAAUGUCGGGGAUGGACCUCCAGAUUUCCUUACUGGUGAGACGUGGUCUUGUAACACAGUGGUUAAGAAUGUGACUUUGGAGCCAGCCUGCUAGGGGCUGAAUUCUGACUCAGCCAUUUACUAACUGUGUGACCUUAGGGAGGAGGACCUGGUUGAUAGAAGAAUUUAUCUCGUAGUCUUAACAUCCACUGUAAUUCCAAACUUUGAGGACGAUAGAGAUCAGUGGGCUUUGACUGCCCAGCAUGCAGUCUCCAUUCUUAGGUGGGUUCCCAAGCCUGUAAAAUGUAAGCCUUAUGCUGCUGAGGGCCAUCUUGCCACCCUGAGGGAAACGCUGCCUGAGAAUGAAACAAGCAUAAGUAAAAGCUGAGCUGUGAGAUGGAGCAAGAUGAAGGCCACAUGACAUCUUUGGAGCACCUGGAUCUAACUGUGCCUUAAGCUAGUCUAACCCUGAACAUUUCAUCAUUUCAUUGACAUGAGCCCAGGUUUUCUUUUUUUUUGGAUGGAGUCUUGCUCUGUCGCCCAGGCUGGAGUGCAGUAGCUCAAUCUCGGCUCACUGCAAGCUCCACCUCCCGGGUUCACGCCAUUCUCCUGCCUUAGCCUCCCAAGUAGCUGGGACAACAGGCGCCCACCACCACUCCCAGCUAAUUUUUUGUAUUUUUAGUAGAGACGGGGUUUUACCAUGUUAGCCGGGAUGGUCUUGAUCUCCUGACCUCAUGAUCCGCCCGCCUCGGCCUCCCAAAGUGCUGGGAUUACAGGUGUGAGCCACUGCACCCAGCCCUCAGGUUUUCCCUUUUUUUACCCCUCCUUUUGAAAAUUUGAUGUGGAAUUUUGCCACCUGCAGCCAGAAGAGUUUUAACUAAUCAGUGCCAUAAAUUUUAUAUAGUUCUCCUUGCAAAAUGUGGAUCAGCCUUUCUCAGCAAAUCCUUUGUCAUAAAGUGCUGAAUUGUAAGUUUGUCAUGAGAAUCACAUGAGAUCAUGCAUGUGAAGAACCUGGCAUUAUCCUCCUCAUAGAAAAAAACCAGUAAAUAUUAACUACAGGAAGCAAGGAAGGAGUGGGGUGAGGGGAAGAAGAAGGGGUACUGAUUUAAAAGAACCCUGGAGUCCUAAGGAUAAUCUAGGAACCCUCAGACCCAAUCCGAUACCCCUAUUCUAAAUGCUCCUAGUGCCCUGUACCUUCCCCUCAUAAGCCUUCAUUAUCAUUGUAAUGAUAUGUUUAUGUAAUAUUUUGAUUAAUGUCUCUCCUUCACUGACCUAGCAGUUCUAGCAGGGCAGUGAUUUUGCUGUGUUGCAUCCCCAGCACCUAGUCUGGUAUGUGGCAUUCAGCAUAUGUUUAUUGAAUGAAUGGCCAUGUGGUUAUUCAGAUCCUCCUUGAUUAUUGGGGUUAGGAUUGUGGCAGAAGUGGCAAAAUCAGGGAGAGUAGUCCCUGUCCCCUCUGUAUCUUAUACACUGCCCACACUCCCAACACACAUACACAUACAGAGAAUUUUGUCUCAAUUAGAUAAUUAACUUCUGCUUGGUUGUAAACCAAACCACUGGUUCUUAAACUUUCAUUGGAUCAUUUUAUUGAAGAAUUAAAUAGUGUGGUUCUGGCCUAAUGUCUGGAAAGCCUUGCAGAGGAGUGGAUUAGGUCUUUGUGAUAAACAGGCAGCCUUCCCUGCUCCUGUGUCUUUAUAAAAUCUAUUUAACUGGAGUAGUCCACCCUCCCUCAGGCUCUUACAGGAAUAUGUUGGAGGCUGUAGGAAGGUGGGAAACCGAGAGGGAAAGGACUGGGCCGCUGGAGACUUCACUCAUUCCCUAGCAAGAAACAAAAGCAGUAAAAGGUGGCCCGAGGACAACCUGAAGCUCACUCCUUCAGCACUUUUGGCUGGAGGUCACUUGUUGGAGCCCCACUCAGAGCUCAGCACACCACCCCACCAGCAGCCUCCUCCUCCCAGCUGAGGCUGCAUUUCAUCCCUUCCCCCAGCCUGCUUUCCCUGAGAUAGGGGAGUGUUUCCCAGGGCCCAUGUGACUUCCACUGGCAAGUGACGAUUACCAAUGGUUUACUAGUCAGUGAAACUACCAAAGGCUUUUGUGCUGUAGUAAUCCUUUUCCUGUUUAAAACUCUGGGGAUUUUCUAAUGUUGCCAAUAGUUUUUCAAGUCAGCAAUUACUGUGUGGAUUAUGUAAUGGCUCGGUAUUAAAAAUAGAAAAGACUGG
rnacentral:lncRNA from 1 species